rnacentral:rRNA from 1 species
AAAGCCCCAGCGUAUGCUAAGCGACCCGUACCGCAAACCGACACAGGUGGGUGGGUAGAAUAUACCAAGGCGUAAGAGUGAAACCUGGUUAAGGAACUCGGCAAAUUAGCCCCGUAACUUCGGAAGAAGGGGUGCCUGCAGCGAUGCAGGCCGCAGAGAAAUGGCCCAACCGACUGUUUAUCAAAAACACAGCACUCUGCAAAGACGCAAGUCGAAGUAUAGGGUGUGACACGUGACCAAUGCCGAAAGAUUAAGGCAAGGGGUUAGCCGCAAGGCGAAGCUCUAAACCCAAGUCCCGGUGAAUGUCGGCCGUAACUAUAACGGUCCUAAGGUAGCGAAAUUCCUUGUCGGGUAAGUUCCGACCUGCACGAAUCGUGAAACGAGUUGGGCACUGUCUCAACCAGGCGCUCAGUGAAAUUGUAGUGGCGGUGAAGAUGCCGCCUACCCGCAGAAGGACGGAAAGACCCUAUAGACCUUAACUGUAAGCUGUCAUUGUUUCUUCGGUUUUAAUGCUCAGAGUAAGUGGGAGACGCUGAAGACGCCCUUUAGGGGGCGUCCGAGUCAUCAAUGAGACACCACCCUUUGAAACUGGAGGAUCUAACCCUGAGCCGUGAAUCCGGCCAGAGGACCGUGUCAGCCGGUCAGUUUUACUGGGGCGGUAUCCUCCCAAAGAGUAACGGAGGAGCGCGAAGGUGGGCUCAGCCCGGUUGGCAACCGGGUGUCGAGUGCAUGGGCAUAAGCCCGCCUAACUGUGAGACCAACAAGUCGAGCAGAUGCGAAAGCAGGCCCAAGUGAUCCGGCGGUAGAAAGUGGAAUUGCCGUCGCUCAACGGAUAAAAGGUACCUUAGGGAUAACAGGCUGAUCACGCCCAAGAGUUCAUAUCGACGGCGUGGUUUGGCACCUCGAUGUCGGCUCGUCGCAUCCUGGGGCUGGAGAAGGUCCCAAGGGUCCGGCUGUUCGCCGGUUAAAGCGGCACGCGAGCUGGGUUCAGAACGUCGCGAGACAGUUCGGUCCUCUAUCCUCUGUGGGCGUUGGAAAAUUGAGGGGUUCAGACCUUAGUACGAGAGGACCGGGUCUGACGCACCACUGGUGCAUCGGUUGUACUGUCAAGUGCAUGGCCGAGUAGCUAAGUGCGGACGGGAUAAGCGCUGAAAGCAUCUAAGCGCCAAGCCCUUCCCAAGAUGAGUUUUCUCAGGUUCGUGGAAGACCACCACGUUGAUAGGUCGCAGGUGUAAGUGCAGCAAUGUAUUGAGCCGAGCGAUACUAAUUACCAAUUGACUUCAUCAU